CUUUUUCAUGUUUAGAUUUUUUCUAACUCAAAUGUCGACUUUUUGUUACAUGAAAAAAGAUACUUAUUUUAACCCCUCGACUAUAUUGAUACACUUAGUAUGUGGAGUUACUUGUCAAUAGCUGGCGAUAAAACUUUUAAACGUAACGUCUUUAAGGGCUGAGAAGGUAAAAAUUAGAAGUCUGCAGACUGCAACGUAAAUCGAUUUCAACACCUUAUGGCUUCUCGAAUAUAUUUAGUUUCCGAUUGAAAUGAGAAUAAACUGAACUUAUAUAUAAAGUGUUUACAAUUAACUUUUUAAACUAGAAAUACUCCAAAGGAGGUUCUCCAAACGCAAGUUAAGCAAAGUCGAUAGAUGUUAAUAUCUUUUAUAUUAUGUUUUAGAUAUAAAAAAAAUUUUUUGUGACUUUAAUAUUUAUGUUAUAAUUGUAAAUUGCAAUCUUAAAAGGAUUUUAUUAUUACUU